rnacentral:rRNA from 1 species
GGAGCUUGCUCCCUUAGGUCAGCGGCGGACGGGUGAGUAACACGUGGGUAACCUGCCUGUAAGACUGGGAUAACUCCGGGAAACCGGGGCUAAUACCGGAUGCUUGAUUGAACCGCAUGGUUCAAUCAUAAAAGGUGGCUUUUAGCUACCACUUGCAGAUGGACCCGCGGCGCAUUAGCUAGUUGGUGAGGUAACGGCUCACCAAGGCGACGAUGCGUAGCCGACCUGAGAGGGUGAUCGGCCACACUGGGACUGAGACACGGCCCAGACUCCUACGGGAGGCAGCAGUAGGGAAUCUUCCGCAAUGGACGAAAGUUUGACGGAGCAACGCCGCGUGAGUGAUGAAGGUUUUCGGAUCGUAAAACUCUGUUGUUAGGGAAGAACAAGCACCGUUCGAAUAGGGCGGUACCUUGACGGUACCUAACCAGAAAGCCACGGCUAACUACGUGCCAGCAGCCGCGGUAAUACGUAGGUGGCAAGCGUUGUCCGGAAUUAUUGGGCGUAAAGCGCGCGCAGGCGGUUUCUUAAGUCUGAUGUGAAAGCCCCCGGCUCAACCGGGGAGGGUCAUUGGAAACUGGGGAACUUGAGUGCAGAAGAGGAGAGUGGAAUUCCACGUGUAGCGGUGAAAUGCGUAGAGAUGUGGAGGAACACUAGUGGCGAAGGCGACUCUCUGGUCUGUAACUGACGCUGAGGCGCGAAA